rnacentral:rRNA from 1 species
GGAAUAUUGGACAAUGGGCGAAAGCCUGAUCUAGCCAUACCGCGUGAGCGAUGAAGGUCUUAGGGUUGUAAAGCUCUUUCGCCAGGGAUGAUAAUGACAGUACCUGGUAAAGACGUCCCGGCUAACUCCGUGCCAGCAGCCGCGGUAAUAAGGAGGGGACUAGCGUUGUUCGGAAUUACUGGGCGUAAAGCGCACGUAGGCGGAUUGGAAAGUUGGGGGUGAAAUCCCGGGGCUCAACCUCGGAACUGCCUUCAAAACUCCCAGUCUUGAGGUCGAGAGAGGUGAGUGGAAUUCCGAGUGUAGAGGUGAAAUUCGUAGAUAUUCGGAGGAACACCAGUGGCGAAGGCGGCUCACUGGCUCGAUACUGACGCUGAGGUGCGAAAGCGUGGGGAGCA